rnacentral:lncRNA from 1 species
AUUGUAGACUUAGUUUUCCACAGACUCCAAAUUGCACCACUCCUUUAGUAGGAGAUAUCUUCAAGAAAAUAUGAUCUCCUAUCUAAAAUUCUAGCUCUUGUCUCCUAUUAUCUACAUAACUUUUUUGUUUGCUUUGAGUUACUCAGAUGCAUUCUCUAAUCAAGUAAAUCCUUUUUACUAUUUGCUAAACAAUUUCAAAACUUAUGAGUUUCCCUUCACCUAC